AUGUAUGUAUGUAUGUAUGAUGCAUGUGUGCUUCGAUUUGGAGCAGCAGUAGGACGACGACGAGAGGACGAGUACCUCGACGGCGACGACAACCAGGAGGAUGAACCCACCCACAAGGGCGCCGACGCCGGCCAUCAGAACGACGACUCUUCGUCCUGCACCACCUCACACUGCGGCGGCUACAGGUCAUUUUUUUGGGAUUGCCUAUGUUUCAAUCCUAUGGAUCUGCUGCAUGCUUGGUACUACUUACAAUCUGCAUUUCAAGUAGAUCCAGUCAACAUCCAAGUUUCUGAAAAUUCAGUUUAG
rnacentral:rRNA from 1 species